rnacentral:rRNA from 1 species
CAGCCGUAAACUAUGCGCGUUAGGUGUAUCGGUGACCACGAGUUACCGAGGUGCCGAAGGGAAACCGUGAAACGUGCCGCCUGGGAAGUACGGUCGCAAGGCUGAAACUUAAAGGAAUUGGCGGGGAGCACCACAACAGGUGGAGCCUGCGGUUUAAUUUGGAUUCAACGCCGGACAUCUCACCGGAUAAGACAGCUGAAUGAUUGUCAAUCUGAAGGUUUUACAUGACUAAGCUGAGAGGAGGUGCAUGG